UCUGAAUGUUCAGCCUCCUUGUCCUCUGCAACAUGACAUUAGCCCACAGUUGCCAUAUGAGACAUCUGUGGUUUUCCUGUGAACAAGCUCCACAUCUGCUUUUCUAUUGAAACAUGUCAUCUUUGUCCCAGUCACUGCCACCAUCUUCUGUGAUGUCAGACUAACAGUAUGUAUGUAGCUGUCUAAAAAAUGACAUUGUUCAUCCCUGAUAUGGCUGGUUGUCUGUUUUUGCUCAUCCUCCUUUUCGAUCUUCCUCAGCCCAGUCUYACAGUGAUUCCUGCAGUCAUCAAAGAGAAAGACUCAGUUCAGCUGAACUGUCAGACUCCUCCAUCUGUCUCUGAGUGUUACUUCAAAAUGGCUGGGCAAGUGGAAUUCACCCUUCCAUCACCCUGUCAACAGACACUCACAGGAACACUACUGGUGAGGUGGACAGGUCAGAGUUCACCAGCUGAGGUCAAAAUGCAAUGUCAGUACAGUGCUACAGGUUCACAGUUUAGAUCCAUAUACAGUGAGUCUUCAACAGUCACAAUUCGGGACAUUCCCCAGCUGACAGUGAGUUCUACAGUCAUCAGAGAGACAGAAUCAGUUCAGCUGAGUUGUGAGACUCCUCCAUCUCUCCCUGUGUCUCACUGUUACUUCAACAUAGAGGGGGGAGAGAAUCCUCCAGACUCAUCCUGUACUCAGACACUCACAGGAACAGAGCUGCUCAAGAGGGCAGAUCAAACGUUUCCAGAUGUGGUCAAAGUGACGUGUUACUAUGCUGUAAGGAGAUCUCACACAUCUCCUUUUAGUGACCCUGUCUCAGUCACUGUUCAGGAUCCACCUCCUCCCAGGCUAACAGUCAAUUCUACAGUCAUCAGAGAGAGAGACUCAGUUCAGCUGAGCUGUCAGACUCCUCCAUCUGUCUCUGUGUCUCAGUGUUACUUCUACACAGAGGGGAGAGAUCCUAAACCCUCACCCUGUACGAGUUCACUAACGGGGACUGAGCUGCUCUCGUGGGCAGGUCAAAGUUCAUCUGCUGAGAUCAAACUGAGAUGUUUUUACACAGUAGAAACUCACUAUACAUCGACGCACAGUGGUUCUGUCUCUGUUACUAUUCUUGAGCCACUUGAUUUCCUGUGGCGUCACAUCCUCACUGUGUUGGUCCUACUGGCUACUUGUGGAGUACUUAUACACUAUGUCAUCUCCCAUCAAUGCCCAAACGCUGUUCCAAAGAGAAGCAGGAGGGUGGACCAGAGAAAUGAAGACUUUUCGUUGACAGUGUGCUAA
rnacentral:lncRNA from 1 species